GACAGGAUUGGCACGUCAUAAACAUUGUCUUGCAAAAUAUAGUUCUGUUUAUUAAUUUAACAUGUGUUUGGAAAAUGUAUUGGUGUACUGUACAUAUAUUUCUUUGUAAGACUCCAACUUAUGUUUGACUAAUCUCUAGAAUAGGUAGUGUUGAAUAAUUUCAAGCCCGGUGUUGAUUGUUGAUUUGGUUUUCGACACUAGUAGUAGAAGCCGUUAAGGUAACUCAAUGUUUUCAUGACUGUUGGACUGAAAGGACUACACACAUAAUAACGUAUCUG
rnacentral:lncRNA from 1 species